AAUAAUGUUGUCGUGCAAUGCUUGUCGCUAAAUUACGUGCUUUUUAAUGCCAUUUGUCUUGUUAUAACACACUGUAAUACUCCACAGCAGGCAAAAAAUAAAAUAAAACCAUUAGUAAUUUGAGCAAGUGGCACCUCCGAGGCUGUGUCAAUGCAACCGUCUUUCCUUCACCUCAGGAUAUGAAUUUAGUGUGUGUGUGUGUGUGUGUGUGUGUGUGUGUGUGUGCACAGUCCCUGCAACACACACUGACAGGAAUGGUACAUCACUGCAGUGCAACACGUCCCCGUGGGUGCCGUGAGGACACAGGCGUGCACCACACGGCUGCCUGGCGGCCCACUGGUGAGCCUCGUGUUGUCUGGCGUGGACGAGAGGCUGCUGGAGGAGGCGGCCCAGAUAGCACAGCUCUUGCAGCCCACACAGCGCCCAUACUGGAGCAUCAGGUUCCCCGGCAGCAGCAUGAAGGCAGAUGUGUGGCGGCGCUGCCUUCACAAGCUGGCCAAUGCCGGCGUCACGGUGGAUGGUGAUGUUGGUGGUGGUAUUGUAGCACCGGACACCAGCCCCAUCACGGAGGAGGAGCACAGGGAGCUGCGCACCCUUGCCAGCACCACGAUGUUAGGUGCCUUCACCAGAUGGCCUGAAGAGGACCUGUGGUGGGAGUUCGUGUAAUCCCCGUGACGGCCAGACUCAUCGGUGCUGGAAGUGCAUCCACUCACGAGGCAAACACCUGGGCUGCAUUUAUCCUACUGCAUUGUGUGUGUACAAGUCAAGUACAAGUGUGGCGCUCUCUCUCUCUCUCUCUCUCUCUCUCUCUCUCUCUCUCUCUCUCUCUCUCUCUCUCUCUCUCUCUCUCUCUCUCUCUCUCUCUCUCUCUCUCUCUCUCUCUCUCUCUCUCUCUCUCUCUCUCUCUCUCUCUCUCUCUCUCUCUCUCUCUCUCUCUCUCAUGAUUGAAAUUAUAUUCUUAAGUUUGUUAGAAUUCUUAAGUCUUGAUGUAGUUUCUCUCUCUCUCUCUGGAUUCAAAUUAUAUUUUUAAGUUUGUUAGAAUUCUUAAGUCUUGAUCUCUCUCUCUCUCUCUCUCUCUCUCUCUCUCUGUCUGUCUGUCUGUCUGUCUGUCUGUCUGUCUGUCUGUCUGUCUGUCUGUCUGUCUGUCUGUCUGUCUGUCUGUCUGUCUCUCUCUCUCUCUCUCUCUCUCUCUCUCUCUCU